CACAAUUGGAUCAUCUCUUCUAACAUUCCAUCUUCAAAACAUGAACACAGCUGAGAGCUCAUACGAGGAAAAAGAAAAGCAGGGAUCCCAGAGUCAGAAAAACAAAGUAGCCGUGUUGGAAAAAAUAAAUCUGAGCUAGUAUGGCUGCUGUCAGUGCCUGAAGAAUAGAUGACCCAAAUGAACUGAGAACAGGGGAUUCAUAAGAAAAUAUGUUCUUCAUUGGUCAGCGCAAAUAGGCUUUGGAAUUCUCUCAGAAAGCAAAAGUGGAUGUGAAGCCUCUCCCUACCGUGUGUUUUCCUUUCACACAUCGCAGAUUUUUCCUAAAGUGAUCCUCCAUACAAGAACAGAUCCAUAUAUUCUAUGACCAAACAAAUAAACAAAAAAGAGCUAUUCUAUUUCCAUGGUAAUAUCAA